rnacentral:rRNA from 1 species
UACAGAGGGUGCAAGCGUUAAUCGGAAUUACUGGGCGUAAAGCGUGCGUAGACGGUAGCGUAAGUCGGGUGUGAAAGCCCCGGGCUCAACCUGGGAAUUGCAUUCGAGACUGCUCUGCUAGGGUGCGGAAGAGGGAAGCGGAAUUCCGAGUGUAGAGGUGAAAUUCGUAGAUAUUCGGAAGAACACCAGUGGCGAAGGCGACUUACUGGACACAUAUUGACGCUGAGGUGCGAAGGCGUGGGGAGCAAACAGG